AGAGCGAACGCUGGCGGCAGGCCUAACACAUGCAAGUCGAGCGCCCCGCAAGGGGAGCGGCAGACGGGAGAGUAACACGUGGGAACGUACCCUUCAGUUCGGAACAACCCAGGGAAACUUGGGCUAAUACCGAAUACGUCCGUAAGGAGAAAGAUUUAUCGCUGAAGGAUCGGCCCGCGUCUGAUUAGCUUGUUGGUGAGGUAAUGGCUCACCAAGGCUACGAUCAGUAGCUGGUCUGAGAGGAUGAUCAGCCUCACUGGGACUGAGACACGGCCCAGACUCCUACGGGAGGCAGCAGUGGGGAAUAUUGGACAAUGGGCGCAAGCCUGAUCCAGCCAUGCCGCGUGGGUGAUGAAGGCCCUAGGGUUGUAAAGCCCUUUCGGCGGGAAGAUAAUGACGGUACCCGCAGAAGAAGCCCGGCUAACUCGCGCCAGCAGCCGC
rnacentral:rRNA from 1 species